AGAGCGAACGCUGGCGGCAUGCUUAACACAUGCAAGUCGCACGGUCGGAGCAAUCCGGCAGUGGCGGACGGGUGAGUAACGCGUAGGUAUCUAUCCGAGGGUGGGGGAUAACGCCGGGAAACUGGUGCUAAUACCGCAUGAUGACUGAGGUCCAAAGGUCGCAAGACCGCCCAUGGAGGAGCCUGCGUCCGAUUAGCUUGUUGGUGGGGUAAUGGCCUACCAAGGCGAUGAUCGGUAGCUGGUCUGAGAGGAUGAUCAGCCACACUGGGAUUGAGAACGGCCCAGACUCCUACGGGGGGCAGCAGUGAGGAAUUUUCGUCAAUGGGGAAACCCUGAACGAGCAACGCCGCGUGCAGGAAGACACUUUUCGGAGCGUAAACUGCUUUUCUCGGGGACGAGUAAGGACGGUACCCGAGGAAUCGAGCCCCGGCUAACUACGUGCCAGCAGCCGC
rnacentral:rRNA from 1 species